AGUGCAGAAGGAGGAAGGACAGCACAGCUGACAGCCGUGCUCAGGAAGAUUCUGGAUCCUAGGCUCAUCUCCACAGAGGAGAACACGCAGGGAGCAGAGACCAUGGGGCCCCUCUCAGCCCCUCCCUGCACACAGCAUAUAACCUGGAAAGGGCUCCUGCUCACAGGGGUCACCACAUUUUGAAAAAUGAAAAUAAUAACUAUAUCAGAUGACACUUGAAAUAAAAAUAUAAGCAGGGCAUGAAACACUGUCCUCAGCAAAAAACCUCAACAAUUGGGAGGAAAAAAAACACCCAGGGCAUGGAGGCCCCUGAGAACUCUCACAUCUACAGGAGUCUGCAGCCUGUUCCAGGCACUGGGGUGCGACCAAGAUCACAAAAGUCCCUGUCCUCACGGAGCUCAUGCUGUCAUGGGGAGGAAGACAGACAUGCAAAGAGAUCUAGAAUGUGAGAUCAGGUGUUGACAAGAACCCUGGAGGGAGCAGAGCAGGGAAAGGUCAAAAAGGA
rnacentral:lncRNA from 1 species